AGUGUUUCUAUGCAAGCUUCUGGCUCCUGAUGUUUCCAUUGCUGCUGACUCUGUGAAGUAUCAGAGGAUCCUGGUAAUAUUUUAGGCGAACUGGAUGGUGACCUUCUAGGAUGCUGUUCCCUGAUCCAGACUUCAUCCAAGCUAAAACUGAGUGGAUGCAGAAUUCAACUUUUCAUACAGUUUAAGAAUGUGUAAUUCCAGUGACUUCAGUGGAGCGACUCCUGUUUUACUUCCAUUUAAGGAAAAUUAAACCUUACAUGACACAGCC